AGACACUCGAUUGUGUAAUACAAAUAUUUAUAUAAGUAAAUAACAUAUUUAUAUAGACAUAACUAUAUGUAAAACAAAAAACACAGAAGAAAAAGUCUCUUUCAUAGUAAAAAUAAAUACUAGAAGCAAAUCAAAAGGCAAGUAACAAACCGGGGGGAAAUAAUUGUAGGUGUUAUCACAGAGAAAAGGUUAAUUGAUACCAAAGAGCACUUUCAAAUAAAUAAGAAACCAAAAGAACCAUCGAAUGGUGAGCAAAGCCUAUGGACAAUUUACAAAAAAAAAAAAAAACAAAUAGUGGCUGGGCGUGGUAGCUUAUGCCUGUAAUCCCAGCACUUUGGGAGGCCGGGGCGGGUGGAUCAUCUGAGGUCAGGAGUUUGAGACCAGCCUGACCAACAUAGUGAAACCCCAUCUCUACUAAAAAUACAAAAAUUAGCCAGGUAUAGUGGCACACACCUGAAAUCCCAGCUACUUGGGAGGCUGAGGCAGGAGAAUCGCCUGAACCCGGGAGGCGGAGGUUGCAGUGAACCGAGAUCACACAAUUGUACUCCAGCCUGGGCAACAAGAGCAAAACUCUGUCUCGGAAAAAAAAAAAAAAAAAAGUACAUGAACAUAUGCAAAGAUGCUUAGUCUCAUUCCUACAAAGAGACAUUUGUGACUUGACAAUUUUGAUAGAAGAUAUUUUCAUAAUUAUAAGACAAUAUAAGAGAUUGCUAUCUAGUUUCCUGAAUCAUCCCAGGAGACCUACACAGCUGAGCUUUGUAAGAUCAGAGUGUAGGGACAACCGCAUAACUGUAUUUCUGACGCUAUUGUUUAAAAGACAAACAGGAGAGUUAAAGAUAGGGCUUUCUGGUUUUUUUUGCGUCUUUUAACUUCUUAAAAAGUAAUCCUGAGAAUUAAGUGCAUCAAAGUUUCUAGAGUGCCUCACAUUUCAGUACAAGCUGGAGAAGGCAGAAAGCAAUGCUCUCACUGCCAUGUGAAUCUUCUCUCCUUACACCUGGGCAGCUUUCACAGCACUAUGCUCCUACCUGAAUACCUUAUGGCAUCACAAUGGGAAAAUGUUUGUUUCUUGGCUUGCAUUUGCUUUAUAUUUAUAAUUUUAAUAUUCUGCUUGGUGCAUUUUGACAUUUAAUAAGGUCAUGACAGAACAUGGUGCUGCUGCACCAAACAUCGUCUUUUUCUUAAGCAAGCCUUGGACUUUGUUUCCUUUUUUAUUGUUUGUUUGAACAAAGAAAGCUGAUUUUGUAGAGAAACUAAUAAGAAACCUAUUAAAGAGAACAAGAUUAGCUACAGAGUUAGUAGCCUUUUGCCAAUCUCUAUUUAAAAAUUUUUAUUUCAUGAAACCAAAAAGUAAAAUAAAAACUGAAUAAACAAAAAAAUUAAUGAGAACAAGAUUAACGACAUAACCUUUUGCCAAUCUCAAUCUAAAUAUUUUAUUUCAUAAAACCAGAAAGUAAAAACUAAUAAAAAUAACCACUGAAUAAGCAGCAAAAAAUUAAUGAGAACAAGAUUAACUAUAAACAGUAACUCUUUGUCAAUCUCUGUUUUAAAAUUGUACUGUUUCAUGAAAUAAAGUCUGAGAGUUGUGGAUGAUUCUGAAAUUCCCUCCAGGUCUCUGAAAGGCUGAAUUUUUUUUUUUUUUUUUUUUUUUUUGAGAUGGAGUCUCACUCUGUGGCCAGGCUGGAGUGCAAUGGCACAGUCUUGGCUCACUGCAACCUCUGCCUCCUGGGUUCAAGCGAUUCUCCUGCCUCAGCCUCCCAAGCAGCUGGGACUACAGGCGUGCACCACCACGCCCAGCUAAUCUUUGUAUAUUUAUUAGAGACGGGGUUUCACCAUGUUGGCCAGGAUGGUCUUGAUCUCUUGAUCUUGUGAUCUGUCUGCCUCAGCCUCCCAAAGUGCUGGGAUUACAGGCGUGAGCCACCGCACCUGGCCGGUAGACUGAAUUUUAUUCCCUCAUCUGGUUUGCAGGUGGGACCAUUGCAAACGUGGUCCCCAGAGACUCAGCUAAUGAGCUUCUGUCCUUCAAGUCUGCACCUUCCUUUGAAACUGGGCCAAAGGUGAUGUCCUAACCCAUGGCAGACCUUACUCCCAUUAAAAUCCUGUUUGCCCACACCAGGAGAGGCAGCACAGUGAGGGAAGAGCUCAGGUUUUGGAGUCAGGCAGUCCUGGGCUCAAAUACUGGCUCUGCUGUUCACCAGCUAUGAGACCUGAGUCUCAAUUUCUUUUCUUUUUGAGAUAGGGUCUUGCUCUGUUGCCCAGGCUGGAAUGCAGAGGUGCAAUCAUGGCUCACUGCAGCCUCAGUCUCCUGGGCUCAAGCAAUCUUUUCACCUCAGCCUCCUGAGUAGCUGGGACUACUGGCACACACCACCAUGCCUGCUAAUUUUUAUUUUAAUUUUUAAUUUUUUUUUUAGUAGAGAUGGGGUCUUGCUAUGUUGUGCAGGCUGGUCUCAAAUUGCUGAGCUCAAGUGAUCCUCCUACCUUGGCCUCCCAAAGUGGUGGCAUUACAGGCAUAAGCCACCAUGCCCAGUCAGUCUCAGUUUCUUCAUCUGUAAAAGGAUAUGAUUAAAAUUUACCUCAUGGAACUUUUAUAAAGGAGAAAUGAGAUAUAAAUAUGAGGUCUUAAUAUAUCAUGUGGCAUACAGUAAGUGCUUAAUAUAUGAGUAUGUAUAUAUGACUCUGUAUUUUAUUUUUGUGACUGUACAAAUAAAUAUAUAGGUACCAUACUACACCUGCCUUUGCAAAUUGGAAACUUGGAAUGAAGAGACAUAUGUGCUUAGAAAUACUUAAGAUCAAAAGUGUUCAUUAUAUAAUUUAAAAAAGAAUAAAGAGAAAAAAACCCCAUUGUUUCAAUAUAAUACAAUGCCUUGAUGGGAUGCUCAAUAUAGUUCUAAGACUUUACAUCUAUUAACCCAUCCAAUCCUAAAACAAUCCUUAAUAAUGCUGUUAUUCCUGUUUCACAGAUGAAGCACAGACAGGUUAAGUAACCUGCCCAAUGCUACACAGCUAACAGGUGAGAGAGGAAUCAAAUCCAAGCAGUGUAGACAGAGAGUCUGUGCUUUUUUUUUUUUUUUUUUUGAGAUGGAGUUUCACUCUUGUUCCCUCUUGUUGCCCAGGCUGGAGUGCAAUGGUGCAAUCUUGGCUCACCGCAACCUCCACCUCCCAGGUUCAAGGGACUCUCCUUGCCUCAGCCUCCCGAGUAGCUGGGAUUACAGGCACGUGCCACCAUGCCUGGCCAAUUUUAUAUUUUUAGCAGAGACGGGGUUUCUCCAUGUUGGUCAGGAUGGUCUCAAACUCCUGACCUCAGGUGGUCUGCCUGCCUCAGCCUCCCAAAGUGUUGGGAUUACAGGCAUGAGCCACCGUGCCUGGCCAAGAGUCUGUGCUUUUAACCACGGUGAAGGUUGCAGGGGAAGCUCAAGUGAGCCUCAGCUGCAAUAAUGGGCAUCUCUAGAUCUGUACUGUUAAUAUACGAACUAUAUGGAAAUGUAAUUAGAUGAAAUUAAACAUUCAGUUCCUUGGUUGCACUAGCCACAUUUAAAGUGUUCAACAGCCACCUGUGGAGAGUGGCUACCAUGUUGGGCAGCAUAGACAUAGAACACUUCCAUCAUCGCAGAAAGUUCUACUAGACAGUACUGUUCUAGAUAAUUCUAGGAAGUAUUAGCCAAACAUAAGACACGAACUCAGCUGUCACUGCAUGGAUUUUUAAUUAAAUACCACUUCAUAAUGUUAUUUGCACCUAGUACUUUUUUUUUUUUAAAUAAGACAUGCCAUAAGUCGUGAAGUUAA
rnacentral:lncRNA from 10 species